GCCUCUGUGGAUCAGUGUAGAUCGCCUCGAGAUUGUUGGACUGAUAACGCGUACAGAGAAUUAACGAGGAGAUGUGGGUUCGAGUCCCGCCGGAGGCC